rnacentral:rRNA from 1 species
AUGGAGGCAGCAGCAGCAGCAGCCUCGCCACGCCCGCGCGCCACUGGCUGCCUCACCGCCUCCACCGCAGGCCCGCAGCGCGCGAGCCGCUGGUGCCCUCGCCAACCGCGCACCGCCUCUUCCUCAUCCUCCUCCUCUUCAAGCGGCGGAAGCCCAGCGGAUCUAGGGUUGCUCCGCCCGCGCCUCCGCCUCUCGCCCUCCUCCCCGGGGAGGAUAGCAGGCGGGGCGCCGCCGGUCCGAGCCCGGGACCCCCGCGCCGAAUGCGCGGGCGGCCGGUCCAGUGCGGAGCACAUCGGGGUCAGCCUAGAAGGCGAGAACAGAGUUUUGGAGAUGUCGUCAACUGUGCCCAAGUCAUCAAAUAUCUUCUGGCAUGAUUGCCCAGUGGGCAAGACUGACCGGCAAAAUCUACUGAAGCAGAAAGGGUGUGUUGUUUGGAUUACAGGCCUUAGUGGUUCAGGUAAAAGUACCUUGGCAUGCACAUUAGGUCGAGAGCUCCAUACAAGAGGGAAGCUUGCGUAUGUUCUUGAUGGCGAUAACUUAAGACAUGGUCUUAACAAGGAUCUUGGCUUCGCAGCUGAAGAUCGUGCUGAAAAUAUACGCAGAGUUGGUGAAGUUGCAAAGCUAUUUGCAGAUGCAGGUCUAGUGUGCAUUGCUAGUUUUAUAUCUCCGUAUAGGAGAGACCGAGAGUCUUGUCGUGCACUGUUGUCAGACGGUAGUUUUAUUGAAGUUUUCUUGAACAUGUCCUUGGAAUUGUGUGAAGCAAGGGAUCCGAAGGGCCUUUAUAAGCUUGCUCGUGCAGGAAAAAUAAAGGGGUUUACUGGUAUUGAUGACCCAUAUGAAGCGCCAUUAAAUUGCGAGAUUGAGAUAAAGGAAGUGGAUGGCGUGUGCCCUUCGCCAUCCGACAUGGCGGCACAAGUGAUUGCUUAUCUCGAGGACAAAGGCUUUCUGCACGAGUAG